GCUCUCGGGUGACGAGCGGCGGACGGGUGAGUAAUGUCUGGGAAACUGCCUGAUGGAGGGGGAUAACUACUGGAAACGGUAGCUAAUACCGCAUAACGUCGCAAGACCAAAGUGGGGGACCUUCGGGCCUCAUGCCAUCAGAUGUGCCCAGAUGGGAUUAGCUAGUAGGUGGGGUAACGGCUCACCUAGGCGACGAUCCCUAGCUGGUCUGAGAGGAUGACCAGCCACACUGGAACUGAGACACGGUCCAGACUCCUACGGGAGGCAGCAGUGGGGAAUAUUGCACAAUGGGCGCAAGCCUGAUGCAGCCAUGCCGCGUGUGUGAAGAAGGCCUUCGGGUUGUAAAGCACUUUCAGCGGGGAGGAAGGCGGUGAGGUUAAUAACCUUGUCGAUUGACGUUACCCGCAGAAGAAGCACCGGCUAACUCCGUGCCAGCAGCCGCGGUAAUACGGAGGGUGCAAGCGUUAAUCGGAAUUACUGGGCGUAAAGCGCACGCAGGCGGUCUGUCAAGUCGGAUGUGAAAUCCCCGGGCUCAACCUGGGAACUGCAUUCGAAACUGGCAGGCUAGAGUCUUGUAGAGGGGGGUAGAAUUCCAGGUGUAGCGGUGAAAUGCGUAGAGAUCUGGAGGAAUACCGGUGGCGAAGGCGGCCCCCUGGACAAAGACUGACGCUCAGGUGCGAAAGCGUGGGGAGCAAACAGGAUUAGAUACCCUGGUAGUCCACGCUGUAAACGAUGUCGAUUUGGAGGUUGUGCCCUUGAGGCGUGGCUUCCGGAGCUAACGCGUUAAAUCGACCGCCUGGGGAGUACGGCCGCAAGGUUAAAACUCAAAUGAAUUGACGGGGGCCCGCACAAGCGGUGGAGCAUGUGGUUUAAUUCGAUGCAACGCGAAGAACCUUACCUGGUCUUGACAUCCACAGAACUUUCCAGAGAUGGAUUGGUGCCUUCGGGAACUGUGAGACAGGUGCUGCAUGGCUGUCGUCAGCUCGUGUUGUGAAAUGUUGGGUUAAGUCCCGCAACGAGCGCAACCCUUAUCCUUUGUUGCCAGCGGUUAGGCCGGGAACUCAAAGGAGACUGCCAGUGAUAAACUGGAAGAAAGGUGGGGGAUGACGUCAAGUCAUCAU
rnacentral:rRNA from 1 species